rnacentral:misc_RNA from 1 species
GAUGAAGAACGUAGCAAAAUGCGAUACUUGGUGUGAAUUGCAGAAUCCCGUGAACCAUCGAGUUUUUGAACGCAAGUUGCGCCCGAAGCCUUUUGGCCGAGGGCACGUCUGCCUGGGCGUCACGCAUCGCGUCGCCCCCCACAAUUCUCCGUAAAGGGAACAUGUGUUUUGGGGGCGGAUAUUGGUCUCCCGUGCUCAUGGCGUGGUUGGCCGAAAUAGGAGUCCUUUCGAUGGACGCACGAACUAGUGGUGGUCGUAAAAACCCUCGUCUUUUGUUUCGUGCUGUUGCUCGCAAGGUAAACUCUUUAAAAACCCCAAUGUGUCGUCUCUUGACGACGCUUCGACCGCGACCCCAGGUCAGGCGGGACUACCCGCUGAGUUUAAGCAUAUCAAUAAGGGAGG